GCCAAUCAAUACGGUCACACCUUGCAUUUCAAAUGCAGACAUUCUUUAUAUGUGCAAGAAAAAGAGAAAUGCUUUGCUGAAAUGAAACGGAAAUUUGGCUGGCCCACGGCCGCACGUAGCCGGAGUUGGGGCUGGAGUUGGAGCCGGAGUUGGAGCUGGAGUUGGAGCCGGAGUUGGAGCUGGAGUUGGAGCCGGAGUUGGAGCUUUAGUUGUAGUUGGGGCCGGGGCAACUCCUACCUGCUGCCGUAGUUGCACUUCUUCAAACUGCCUAGUAGAUGGGCUAGUAGGAGUAGGAUAUCCGAAGAAAAAUGGCCAUCCUUCGUAGAAAACCUUCUGCGGCUUCUGUUGCAUGAUUGCGUAAGGAUUGAACCCUGGCAGCUGAAUGAUUGUUUCUCCGUUGUAGUUCUUGCUUUGAAUGGGGGAAUCAGCAACUAAACAACUCGUCACAUUUAGCAAAUAUUUGUAAAGAAAGAAAUCAUUUGUAAUUUACAAUCGACGAUGAUGGCGUCAUCUGUUCGAGUGACACGCGGAAGGACGGAACUAGCGGCAGGGUUGCAGCAGCUCAGGAAAGUCACCGUCGCAAAGAAGAGGAUGAUUUUCCCUUUUUGCCAUUGUCAUUGAAAUGAAACAGCAGGACAUUGAAAAUGUGCUCUCGACUUGGACGACACUUGUGAUUCACUGUCGAGCUGGCCUUCCUUUUUAUUGCGGGAUUGAAGACGCCGGGAAGAAGCACCGCCCUAUCAUUCGUACUUGUUAAACUCCAUUGGAUUGAGCCAACACCCUUUUGAUUACAAAAAGAAUACCAAAUCAAUGUAAAUUACGCAUUUCAAGGUUAUACUGAUUUUAGGUGUCACCCGAGCGAUAAGGAGAACCCCAGUCCAACGUCGUUUAUUGAACCCUCCAAAUUCCCCGUGAUCUUGCGUGACUUUUUGGCUAUCGAGCUUUUUCGUGAGCGAAAUGCAAAUCAAGUUGCUGGCCUUCUAUAAUACCCUUCAAUCGGGGAGUUGAUUCGGGUCUCAUUUCUUGUUGAUAAAAGUUAUCCACCUGUUUAAAUACAUUACCUUUAGUGGUGUAUUUUUAUUGGUCGAAUGAGAUUCUUCUUUUGAAUGCUAAGCUAAAGGUUUCCAGCGAAAGAAUAUUUUCAUCAUGCAAAUUAGCCUAAAGAUGAGCUGUUUGAAUCCGAGAAUAUAAAUCAACGUGAUCUUUCGCAAGAACUGGAUUCGCUUAAUUACGGUGUUUCUGCUUUUAAACAAAUAUGGAAGCACUCGAACACAAAUGACAUUGAAGGAAGUUGCAAUCACAAUUAUUGCUUGAGGACUUGCAACUCCAAAAUGAAACGCAAAACUCCACAGAAAUGCAAAAUAACUCUCCGGUCGGGAAAAGUUGUCUAACAUGGAGCUCAGCACGUUCACAAUAACUGGAAAUUUGGCAGCAGAGACUGGGCGAUACGAUCGGAAAAGUUCCAAAUGCGAUCAACAGUGCGACAAUAGUUACUUGAUUAAAAUAUGGAAAUUCCCUUUUGGGUUUUUGGACGGUUGUACGCCAAUUAUGGUUGGGUUCGAGGGUAUUAGUGGAGAAAGACAAUUCAAGGAGAUUAAACUUGAGUUGCUGUUACUUUGUUAUUUAUGACACGUACAUGUAGAGCUGCAAGGGCGUUCAAUGUCCUUUUGCAUGAAACCGAUGAAACUGGAAUCUUCGUUGAAUUACAUGUGUGCUGCCAUGACA
rnacentral:lncRNA from 1 species